AUUCCAGCUCCAAUAGCGUAUAUUAAUGCUGUUGCGGUUAAAAAGCUCGUAGUUGGAUCUCGGUGGGUUGCUUUCGGUUGGCUGAUUGGCUUUACUGAAAACGCAAUCCUCUGUUUUUUUGUGGGUCUCGGCCACGGGUGCUCUUAACCGAGUGUCCGUGCGUCGCCCACAGGUUUACUUUGAAAAAAUUAGAGUGCUCGAAGCAGGCUUUACACGCUUGAAUAUUCGUGCAUGGAAUAAUGGAAUAGGACGUCGCUUCUAUUUUGUUGGUUUUCGGAAAUCGACGUAAUGAUUAAUAGGGACAGUCGGGGGCAUUAGUAUUCAGACGACAGAGGUGAAAUUCUUGGACCGUCUGAAGACUCACUACUGCGAAAGCAUUUGCCAAGAAUGUUUUCAUUAAUCAAGAACGAAAGUUAGAGGUUCGAAGGCGAUCAGAUACCGCCCUAGUUCUAACCAUAAACGAUGCCAGCUAGUAAUCCGUAGACGUUUUUAUUGUAGGCUCUACGGGAGACUUCCGGGAAACCAAAGCUUUUGGGUUCCGGGGGAAGUAUGGUUGCAAAGCUGAAACUUAAAGGAAUUGACGGAAGGGCACCACCAGGAGUGGAGCCUGCGGCUUAAUUUGACUCAACACGGGAAAUCUCACCAGGCCCGGACACUGGAAGGAUUGACAGAUUGAGAGCUC
rnacentral:rRNA from 1 species